UACAGAGGGUGCGAGCGUUAAUCGGAAUUACUGGGCGUAAAGCGCGCGUAGGCGGCUUUGUAAGUUAGAGGUGAAAGCCCGGGGCUCAACCCCGGAAUUGCCUUUAAGACUGCAUCGCUAGAAUUGUGGAGAGGUAAGUGGAAUUCCGAGUGUAGAGGUGAAAUUCGUAGAUAUUCGGAAGAACACCAGUGGCGAAGGCGACUUACUGGACACAUAUUGACGCUGAGGUGCGAAAGCGUGGGGAGCAAACAGG
rnacentral:rRNA from 1 species